rnacentral:rRNA from 1 species
AUUGAACGCUGGCGGCAGGCUUAACACAUGCAAGGUCGAACGAUGACUCUCUAGCUUGCUAGAGAUGAUUAGUGGCGGACGGGUGAGUAACAUUUAGGAAUCUACCUAGUAGUGGGGGAUAGCUCGGGGAAACUCGAAUUAAUACCGCAUACGACCUACGGGUGAAAGGGGGCGCAAGCUCUUGCUAUUAGAUGAGCCUAAAUCAGAUUAGCUAGUUGGUGGGGUAAAGGCCUACCAAGGCGACGAUCUGUAACUGGUCUGAGAGGAUGAUCAGUCACACCGGAACUGAGACACGGUCCGGACUCCUACGGGAGGCAGCAGUGGGGAAUAUUGGACAAUGGGGGCAACCCUGAUCCAGCCAUGCCGCGUGUGUGAAGAAGGCCUUUUGGUUGUAAAGCACUUUAAGCAGGGAGGAGAGGCUAAUGGUUAAUACCCAUUAGAUUAGACGUUACCUGCAGAAUAAGCACCGGCUAACUCUGUG